AUUGAACGCUAGCGGCAUGCCUUACACAUGCAAGUCGAACGGCAGCGCGGGGGCAACCCUGGUGGCGAGUGGCGAACGGGUGAGUAAUGCAUCGGAACGUGCCCAUCGAUGGGGGAUAACUGCGCGAAAGCGUUGCUAAUACCGCAUACGACCUACGGGUGAAAGCAGGGGACCGCAAGGCCUUGCGUCGAUGGAGCGGCCGAUGUCGGAUUAGCUAGUUGGUGAGGUAAAGGCUUACCAAGGCGACGAUCCGUAGCUGGUCUGAGAGGACGACCAGCCCACACUGGGACUGAGACACGGCCCAGACUCCUACGGGAGGCAGCAGUGGGGAAUCUUGGACAAUGGGCGCAAGCCUGAUCCAGCAAUGCCGCGUGUGGGAAGAAGGCCUUCGGGUUGUAAAUCACUUUUGGCAGGAAAGAAAUCGUCCGGGCCAAUACCCUGGAUGGAUGACGGUACCUGCAGAAUAAGCACCGGCUAACUACGUG
rnacentral:rRNA from 1 species